CUCUCGUGCUCGUUGACGGUUUUAACGGUUUUUUGUUUUGUUUUGUUUUUCAAAUGGAUUUCUUCAGUCAGUUUGAAAUGAAAUGAAAACGUUACAACAGUUUAGUUAGCUCGGAGAGACAGUCGAGAGACAGUUAUUUUAGUGAGCUAUUCUGUUACCCAUACACAGGACAGGUGGAAAAAAUAUUUGAAUAUAAUAUAUCCUGCUUUAAAUUCCCUAACAGCUCAUUAGAGUUAAGCUAACACUAUAUAUACAUAUAUGGUUUAUGUGGUUUAUGUCUUGUUUUAAACUCUCUGAGGUAACACCAGUGAUUCACCUCUUCAUGGACUUCAUCCAUUGCUGUGAUCUUCUGUAGUCUACCAGAAUCUACCAUUAGCAUGUUCUUGUGAUUUAACAAGCAAACAGACACUCCUAAUGUUUUGGGUGAAUUUUUAUGUGACUUUUAGACACUGGUCUUGAGUCUCACCUGAUCCGUCAGGGAUGGACCUGACAAAGGUGGGCAGCAUCUUGACAGUGGCUGUGGCGUUGGUGUCACGGCUCAGCCCUUUCUCCAGCUCCAUACGGAAACGGGUCAUGAUGUCUCGCAGUGUCUCAUCAGAGAAGCGCAUGGAGUACAGGUCCACUGGGCUUCUGGUCUCUUGUCCACUCCCUCUGCAGCUGCUGCAGGAGCUCUGGUGUGAGCAGACCCUCCUGAACCAGACGAGCACUGAGUGAACUGUCCACACCCUUCAUGUCCUGUUUACCGU